rnacentral:rRNA from 1 species
GACGAACCGUGCGAACGUUGUUCGGAUUCACUGGGCUUAAAGGGCGCGUAGGCGGCUUGCCAAGUCAGGGGUGAAAUCUUUCGGCUCAACCGGAAAACGGCCCCUGAUACUGGCGGGCUGGAGGAGGGUAGGGGCAGAUGGAACUUCCGGUGGAGCGGUGAAAUGCGUAGAUAUCGGAAAGAACACCAACGGCGAAAGCACUCUGCUGGGCCGACACUGACACUGAGAGACGAAAGCUAGGGGAGCAAAUGGG